GACGAACCGUGCGAACGUUGUUCGGAAUCACUGGGCUUAAAGGGCGCGUAGGCGGGUUUUCAAGUCUGUGGUGAAAUCCUUCAGCUUAACUGGAGAAGUGCCGUGGAUACUGUACAUCUUGAGGAGGGUAGGGGCAUCUGGAACGGUCGGUGGAGCGGUGAAAUGCGUUGAUAUCGAGCGGAACUCCGGUGGCGAAGGCGAGGUGCUGGACCCUUUCUGACGCUGAGGCGCGAAAGCCAGGGGAGCAAACAGG
rnacentral:rRNA from 1 species